GUUCAAUAAUGACUCCACGUCCCAAGUGAUCUGUGCCGCUCUCUCAUCUACACCGCGGGUGCCACACCCUUCCGUAGCUGAGGGUUUCAUGUCCUCUCCCUCCUUGCUUCUGCCUUAUCAAAACCUGGUCUCAGAAAAAGAAAGUCUGUUCCCAGUCAAUGAGUAUAAUUUUGUUUAAAUGUCAUUGCCCCUUUUCCUCUUUGAGUUAGGCAAUUCAGUUUCCUCUUUGAGUUAGGUUUGGUAAAAAGUUUUGUCUCCUGUGUAAAUAAUUUAGCUGUAUGCUAACUGGAGGAGCUACCAAGUGUACCAGUGGUGGCCACUUACUGCAUUCAGUGAGGGCCUCCUCUUUCCACUCCCUUCGUGACUAAGAGUGAGGGAAUCAGAGGUGACUCACAUUAGGCCUUUACUGUAUAUCUCAGUAUACUUAAGAAUGUUGACCUUAACCUCGGCAAGGGCGGAGAGACGCAUGGUCCACAGCAGCGCAUCUCCAGAGCCUGGACCGAGCUGAGAGCAUGCAGAGCCUCCAUAACUGGUCAGAGGAACUGAACUCCCGGCCCCAAAAAACCCUAUACACAGCAAAGGAGAGGCAUAGAUGGGAGGUAACCUCUUCUUAGAAACAGCAAAAUGAUGUGCAAAAGAGACAGAGACAUCCUACAAAACUCUAUUUACUUUUCUCAUAUUUGAGGGGAAAAAAACCAUUCAGAAACCCUUCCCUGAAAAUUAAGGCCUGGACCCAAGUGGAGAUGGAAACCUUUGAUUCCAACUGACCCUACUGCUGUGUUCACAAGGACAGGACCACGUGAUUACUCCGGGAUCCCUGAACACACAGAACCUACUAGUAUCACCUGCAUUUUACUGAUGAGGAAAUCAAAGCCUAGAGACAGAAGCCGACUUCACAAGAACACAGCACUACCCUUGGCCUGAGGAAUGAUCCAAUUGUAGCUUCCCUGACCUGACCUCAAGAAAGAUGCAAUCCUCCUGUAUGACAUCAAAGCUUCGUUUGCUCCCACAGCUCUCACCCGCGACUUCCCUAACUCCCAAGGCUUCCCCUAAGCUGUGGAGGACUUCAGCAGUGAGUCAUCAGUGAUCUGAACUCUCUGAUCUCUUGCUAUGUUUGGGGCCCUCCCUCUGUCUCUGAAGACUUUUAGUGACAACCCAGAAAUUAAGAACUUUCCCCUAUGCUUUUAUGUUUUCUAAUAUCACAUAGCAAAGAGCUACACAGCAGCAUUUGAGUCCAAAUGCUACUUAAUCUGAAUGAUCACUUGCCAAUCUCUAAGUGUUAUUUGGAGCAUCACAUAGAGCAAUAACAACAAGUGCUCAUUCUUUUCCACUAAGAGGGUCCCUUGCAUAAGGACCCCUUUUCCUCAGUAUUCAUUAUGAAGGGUGUUCAAAAAAGUGUUUUCAGAAGUCUGUAAAUGUUCUACAAAAAUUUUUAUUUGUGCAUUUUUUUUUUAUUUUUUUAGAGAGGUCUUGCUAUAUUGUCCAGGAUGGUCUUGAACUCCUGACCUCAAGCAAUCCUUCUGCCUCUGCCUCCCAAAGUGCUGGGAUUACAGGCACUAACCACCAUGCCUAGCCUGAAUAUUUUUUUUUAAUUUGAAGAUUUUACUUUUAUAACUUUGGCAUACUGAAAAAAAUAAUAUGGUUGUAAAGUUUUGUUCUUUCUCCCAUUGAGAGACAGAGUCUAUUUCUCCCUGGAAGCUAAACUUGGUCACACCACUUGUUUUGGCCAAUAAGUCACUAGCAAAUAUGGCAUGAGCAGUAGCUUGAGAAAGGUUGUCCCCUUAGGGUUUGUCUUCUCUUGCUGACUUUGGAACCCAGCAGCCAUGGGAAGAAGGUAGGGCUGGUCAGCUAGAAGCUGGACUUAUGCCAUCCCAGCCAACUGCCAAACACAUGAGUGAGGCCAUCUAGGAUCCAGUGACCACAGCCACCUAAGAGGGCUAUGGCAAGUCUAGUAGAAGAACUGCCCAACUGUGCUCAGCUUGAAUUGCCAAUCCACAGAAUUACGAGCUAAUGAAUAAGCGUUGCUUUAAAUCACUAAGUUUUUUGGGGUAGUUUCCUACUUAGUGAAACCUGAGAUGAUGAUAACAUAACGAAAUGAGCAUAAGCAUCUCCUGGAGCAUGUGUAUAACCACCUUAUGCUGACGCUGUCACACGCUUCCUAUGUGCAUGUUUGAGAUUGUGUCUAUGAUCUUAUUAAUUGCAUUCACUUUGCUUAUAAACUAAUGAGAUAAGAGCAGUGCAUGUAACACAUUUGUUCCAAGUGAGGUAAAUGAAGUCCCAGCCCUUUAUACAAACGGGGUAAGAGGUGAAAUGGGGAAACUGGGAGAAUUGGUGAAGAAGUCAGUCAUAAUGAGGCACACAAUUUUUCCACAAAUCAUAAUUUUGUCCAUGUGGUUUUAUAAAGGAACUUGAGCCAUUAAGUAUAAGGAAUUUGUACCUAUGCUUUUUUUUUACAUGUUCAUGUGCUUAAAUAACAUGAUAAUAAAUGCAUAUUUAAAUAACAUUAAAAUGGAA
rnacentral:lncRNA from 10 species